GGGUGGGCGGCGUGGAAAUUUCCAGACGGCGUCGUGUCGUUGUGAGCAAAGAUCUUAUAUCUUAUCUUAUCGAUACUAGAGGAGCUUUUUGGUUGUGAAAGAGGCGGCGGAGAAGAAGCGAGAGGAGUGCUAGCAGCCCGAGGAAAUCUGCCUCCGACAAGCAGUACAAAACCUGGAUUUUAAUCCCGCAUCCCCCUUCAAAGGCGCCAAAGUCAUGCACACGGCCAGUGGCAGAUCUGUAGCGCCGCUGAAGGAACGAGAGGCACAGAAGCCACUACCAGUUGAACACAGGGACAAGUCCAUACUGUCUGACUACGUACUGAUAAGGUACUGGGACCAGAAGAAAUUGAUACUGUGUUGAAAGGAACUGUACCAAGUGCUACCAACAACAUCAACCGCCGUGAAGAUUGAAGAUCACCCCCGUUGGAUACAUCUCAUUGACUGUAAACGGUUCAGAGAACCAAGAAAGGAUAAUGGGGCUAUUGACCCUCCUUUUAAUCUGGGAUCGGCUCAGAUGGACUGGACUUGGGGAAAGAACUUGUUUCUUUCUAUGAGUUUUGAAUUUGCCCUUCUCGAUAAUAUAAGUGGAUGCUGGGUGUGUACGCACAUCCCAUAUAAUAAUACAGGUGGAAUACCCCUCUUAACAAUAUCUCUUUAUCUUAUUGAGAUUCUGGCCUUGCACUAAAUUGAGAUUCUGGCCUGCAUUGUUUUCGCAAUAAAACAGUAACUAAUGGGUGCCUUCAGAAUGGCAAACUCAUAUGGUUAAUAUGAGGACUAACCCAUAUAUAAAGGAUGGUACACCACUCCCUUUAAACAAGAUCGGAAAUUAAACAUGACUAGCACAGCAGAUAUACCCCGACUGCAGAUAGUAAGAGAUCCGCACAGGCCAGUUAAUACUACCUGUUUUUGCCACAACCAAGGCAUUGGUGUAUUUUGGGAAACAGUAUGUAUAUGACAAUGGCAAUGUCAGGCACCAUUGUUGGCCUACCCCGACCGGUUAAUGGCACAUAUUGUGUAUUUGGGUCCUGGGCCUACCCAUGGUUACCAGGAAUGCCGCCGGCAGACAGGGCAACUUGGGAACGACUAAAAGGACCCCAUCACUGGACAGGGUACUGUUAUGUUGCAUAAGUGGUCCCACACAUGAGAACCAUGAACAAGUUACACCAGCACAUGGGGAUUUCCAAGCGAAUUCUAACGAAGAGCAAUUUUCUAUGAUCCUCUUCCCGUCCUAUGGUUGUAUCGUAGUAUCACGGGAACUCGUUAACAUGGCCUCCGCUAUGGAGACGAUUGCGAAUGCCUUUGCCGCCUCCUUGAGUGCAACCCAAAACGAGAUAGAUGGAGUAACAGCUGAGAUAGUAGCUAUGAGAACUGUAGUAUUACAGAACAGAAUGGCCCUAUAUCUUAUCCAAGCAGUAAAAGGAGGGACGUGCGCCAUAAUUGGCUGGGAAUGUUGUACUUUUAUCCCCGAUGCUUCCUCCAACAUUACCGACUUGGCCGCCCAUAUCAGAAGUGGCUAAAAUAAAGAAGGUAGGAGCUGAAUUCCAUGAUUAUAGCUCCGGGGGCAGUUGGUGGCCAUUUAAUAUGUUUGGAAGGACGUGGCGAAUUAUUGUCCACCAUGGAUUGAUUGUAUUACUAAUUGUACUUUAAUUUGUCUGUUGCGAUGCUUAUGGCCUUUUCUAUGUACUCGGCGAGGACUGUAAUUGUUAACAUCAAAACGAUAAAGAGGAAGGAAUGAAAAGUUUAAAUGCUUUUAAAUAUAUAAAAUAUACAUAGGGGAAUACUUGACUAAGUUGUAACUUAUAUUUCGUCUCAAGCAGGCCUUCUCCAGUGGAUUGAUAAGAGAGAGAGAGACACGCACUCAGGUUGAUGUGUAUUGAGACAAUGACCGGUGCCGUUGAAAUGUGUCUACCAAUUGAUAAGAGAGACAGGCUCAGACUCAUCGUGUAGUGAUGUGUAUUGACUGAAUCUUGUAAGCUCUUUGGAAUGUGAUUAAGUCUUGUGACGAUGACUAACCUCUUUGGAAUAUGAUUAAGUGACACACUGUAUAAAAACACCAUUCAAAGCUUUGUUCAUGGAAGUCGUGGCGCGGGGAAGUCAGUGUCUGUAGCUUACUUGACAGGCGCAUCCCCGUCACUUCCGCCGGCAGAUGAUAAGUAAAGCUUGAGUUGGUCUACCUAACGUUUUUGUUAAUUGUCUGUUUAUUAAGAAGUGAACCUUAUCAAUAGUUCAGUUUAGUUUAUUGUCAUGCCUACCGAGGCACAGUGAAAAGCCUUUGUUGCGUGUUAAAAAACAAUACAUGAUUACAUGUGUAAGAAGGAACUGCAGAUGCUGGUUUACACCGAAGAUAGACACAAAAAUACUGGAAUAAGAUGCUGCCUGACCCACUGAUUUACUCCAGGAUUUUGUGUCUAUCUUCAAAAGAUAAUUAGAACACAUGUCCAUGGCAGUGGAAGAGAUGUGUAGGAAGGAACUACAGAUGCUGAUUUAAACUGAGGCCAGACACAAAAAGUAGCAGCAUCUUUGGAGAGAGUGGAUGGGUGACUUUUUGGGUCGAGACCCUUCUCCAGAGCCAUCCAGUUUGAAGAAGGGUCUCGACUCGAAAUUUCACCCAAUCCUUCCCUCCAGACGCCGCUGUGUUACUCCAGACUUUUGUGUCUAUCGGCAGUGGAAAGGAUGGUCCGUAGUGUUUAGUUGUUGAGGUAGGAUUAAGGUUAUACAGUAAUAUGUAGACACAAGGAACUGUAGAUGCUAGUUACAAAACAAUAAAGUGCUGGAGUAAGUCAGCGGGUCAGGCAACAUCUCUGGAAGACAUGGAUUGAUGAAGUUUCGGGUCUAAAGGGUGCACCAUUGUCUGCAGCCUCUUGCGCACCUGUGCGUUGGAAUUGCCAUGCAAGGCCAUAAUCCAACAGUCAUCAAAUCAACAAUCACUUCCUUGGAUACGUUGAAGUUGUACCUUGUUACACGUAACAAUAAUAAUAAACUUAAACCUAAACCAGCAUACCACUGUAAUCCCUCAGCAUUCUACUGUAACGAUUAAAUUAUUAUGCAAUGUAGAUGGUCAAAAGUACACAUCCAUUAAACUGUUUCUCCUCACAGCCUA